rnacentral:rRNA from 1 species
AGAGUUGAUCAUGGCUCAGGAUGAACGCUAGCGGCAGGCUAACACAUGCAAGUCGAGGGGCAGCGGGAUGUAGCAAUACAUGCCGGCGACCGGCGGAUGGGUGCGUAACGCGUAUGCAACCUACCUUAUACAGGGGAAUAACCUUUCGAAAGGGAGACUAACACCCCAUAGUAUUGAUUUAAGGCAUCUUAGAUUAAUUAAAUAUUUAUAGGUAUAAGAUGGGCAUGCGUAUGAUUAGCUAGUUGGUAAGGUAACGGCUUACCAAGGCGACGAUCAUUAGGGGUUCUGAGAGGAAGGUCCCCCACACUGGUACUGAGACACGGACCAGACUCCUACGGGAGGCAGCAGUGAGGAAUAUUGGUCAAUGGGCGCAAGCCUGAACCAGCCAUGCCGCGUGCAGGAAGACGGCCUUAUGGGUUGUAAACUGCUUUACAUAAGACUAACCGUAUAUUUGCGAAUAUACCUGAAUGUAUUAUGAGAAUAAGGAUCGGCUAACUCCGUGCCAGCCGCAGC